AAGAUGCAGUGUACCCGCGGCAAGACGGAAAGACCCCGUGAACCUUUACUAUAGCUUGACACUGAACAUUGAGCCUUGAUGUGUAGGAUAGGUGGGAGGCUUUGAAGCGUGGACGCCAGUCUGCGUGGAGCCGACCUUGAAAUACCACCCUUUAAUGUUUGAUGUUCUAACGUGGAUCCGUAAUCCGGGUUGCGGACAGUGUCUGGUGGGUAGUUUGACUGGGGCGGUCUCCUCCUAAAGAGUAACGGAGGAGCACGAAGGUUGGCUAAUCCUGGUCGGACAUCAGGAGGUUAGUGCAAUGGCAUAAGCCAGCUUGACUGCGAGCGUGACGGCGCGAGCAGGUGCGAAAGCAGGUCAUAGUGAUCCGGUGGUUCUGAAUGGAAGGGCCAUCGCUCAACGGAUAAAAGGUACUCCGGGGAUAACAGGCUGAUACCGCCCAAGAGUUCAUAUCGACGGCGGUGUUUGGCACCUCGAUGUCGGCUCAUCACAUCCUGGGGCUGAAGUAGGUCCCAAGGGUAUGGCUGUUCGCCAUUUAAAGUGGUACGCGAGCUGGGUUUAGAACGUCGUGAGACAGUUCGGUCCCUAUCUGCCGUGGGCGCUGGAGAACUGAGGGGGGCUGCUCCUAGUACGAGAGGACCGGAGUGGACGCAUCACUGGUGUUCGGGUUGUCAUGCCAAUGGCACUGCCCGGUAGCUAAAUGCGGAAGAGAUAAGUGCUGAAAGCAUCUAAGCACGAAACUUGCCCCGA
rnacentral:rRNA from 1 species